GGGAGAUGCCCCUGCCGUGCCCUGACCUCCCUCCUCCCUCCUGGCAUCCCUUUUCCCAGAUAAAAGAGCCCUUUUCAUCAUCUGCACCUCGGAGCUGGGACCCCAAAUCUACGAGCUGGUGGCCCUGACGUCCUCGGAGAAAAACACAUGGAUGGAGCUGCUGGAGGAGGCCGUGCAGAGUUCCACCAGGAAUGCCACCUUCCCCCCCAAGCGCCGGACGGCAGAACCCACCGGCACGGCCCCCACGGGGCUGGUGCUGCAGGACCCCGACGUGUCCCCGGAGCUGUCCCGGGGCUCGGGAGCGGAGCUGGAGCCGGAGGAUUGUUCCUCGG